UAGGGAAUAUUGCACAAUGGGGGAAACCCUGAUGCAGCAACGUCGCGUGAGUGAUGAAGGCCUUCGGGUUGUAAAGCUCUGUUCUUGGGGAACAAAAAAAUGAGGGUACUCAAGGAGAAAGGACCGGCUAACUUCGUGCCAGCAGCCGCGGCAAGACGAGGGGUCCGAGCGUUGUCCGGAAUCAUUGGGCGUAAAGAGGGUGUAGGUGGCCUUGUCAGUCAGGAGUGAAAGCCCCGGGCUUAACCCGGGAAGUGCUUUUGAUACUACAGGGCUUGAGUGUGAAAGAGGGCAGUAGAAUUCCUGGUGUAGCGGUGAAAUGCGUAGAUAUCAGGAGGAAUACCGGGGGCGAAGGCGUCUGCCUGGUUCAACACUGACACUGAGACCCGAAAGCGUGGGGAGCAAACAGG
rnacentral:rRNA from 2 species